CAAGUCGAGGGGUAACAUUGUGCUUGCGCAGAUGACGACCGGCGCCCCGGGUGCGGUAACGCGUAUAGAACCUACCUUUUACAGAGGGAUAGCCUUUAGAAAUGAAGAUUAAUACCUUAGUAGUAUUGCGACUUGGCAUCGAGUUGUAAUUAAAGAUUUAUCGGUAAAAGAUGGCUAUGCGUCCUAUUAGUUAGAUGGGAAGGUAACGGCUUACCAUGACUAUGAUAGGUAGGGGUCCUGAGAGGGAGAUCCCCCACACUGGUACUGAGACACGGACCAGACUCCUACGGGAGGCAGCAGUGAGGAAUAUUGGGCAAUGGAGGCAACUCUGACCCAGCCAUGUCGCGUGCAGGAAGACUGCCCUAUGGGUUGUAAACUGCUUUUAUACAGGAAGAAACACUAGUACGUGUACUAGCUUGACGGUACUGUAAGAAUAAGGACCGGCUAACUCCGUGCCAGCAGCCGCGGUAAUACGGAGGGUCCGAGCGUUAUCCGGAAUCAUUGGGUUUAAAGGGUCCGCAGGCGGUCAAUUAAGUCAGAGGUGAAAUCCCAUAGCUUAACUAUGGAACUGCCUUUGAUACUGGUUGACUUGAGUCAUA
rnacentral:rRNA from 1 species